GCUUGGUACACUUAUCCACUGUUCUAUAUUUUUUACCUGGCAUUCUGGUAGUCAGAUUCAGUUAUUCUUGUAUUAGGAUUUUGUAUAAACUGAGGCAGAAGAGAAAGCUUUAUUGCAUUUAUUUAUCUAAUUGCGAUAAGAAAUGAUAGCUUUGCAGCGGCGUUGUUAAAAAAAAUUCUUCCCAUCCUCCACCUAGUGUAACAUAAACAGGUAACUUUAUUUGUUUCACAUUGUGAUUUGAAUUCUGUAUCCCUGCUGUCUUCAAAGUCCUUUUAUUAUACUUGUAUUUGGGGUCCUUCUCCUCUCUCUAUUGCAUUUUCUCUUCUUGCUCUUCUUUCUUUAUCUUACAUUUUCCUCAGUGGUAGCAGGAAAUGGUUCACAAGGGAGAGAAGUUAUUCUGUUCAUUAAGUAACUUCCAAAACAGGGAGAGAAAAGGUUUUCUUUAUGUUUCAGACAAGAAAAUUUCAGUCUGCCUUGCGUAAAUGAAAAUCGAACCCCAUGACCUCACAUGUGUUUUAAAUGUAAAGCUUUGAAUAAUUUCCUAACUAAAAGACUCAUUUCCCUAAUUUUUAAGGGCUGUAGAAUUGCAUGAAAAUGAGUAUUUGUAAUAAAAAAAAUAUUCGUGGGACCCAUUAUAGCCUUAACCAACAUUUCCACGCUCAAGACUGAAAGAUUCCCAUGGAUUGAGUGUGUUAUGCUCAUACUUACAGUAUUUUAAAAAAGCAUCAUGAAGAGGCAACACAAUAUUCAUAUAGCUACUCUAGAGACAGCUUUUCUAUAAAAAGAAAAUAGUUCCUUUUUCUUAAGGCCUAGGAAUAAUAUUAAACAUAAGCAAUAACAUUAUGCUCCAGCUGAGACCUCAAUAAGGAAAUGGAAAAAAAGCAGGUCAUCAUUGUAGCGACAUCCCACUAGAAAUGUCACCAUAUUUGGUGGCGAUACACAGCAAAGACUGCAGGUUUGCAUGUCUAACGCAGCUGCCUCCUGCAGGCACUGUGAACUUCCUGGAACUUUUUGCAUGCAUUUUUCCCCCCAUAUUUUUCCUUCAAUAUCCUUUUUGGAAACGAAGCCUGAAGGAAGUAAAUUUCAGAGAUUGUGUGAAGGUCGCUGGAGCCAGGAGGAAAUUAAGCCUGUUCUGAAGUCCCAGCCACAAGAUGGUGAGGGAUUGUGUUUCUAUCCUCCAGAUAACCCAGAGGGGACAGUACAAAUCACAGAUCCAACUGAGAAUAACACUUUGUGGUGCAACUUGGAGGGAGCGCAUCACCUUGAACCAUCUCACUUGAUACAGUCACGUGUGAAAUAGAGAAAUUAGUAAGCUACUUUUCCAAUUGAAUUAUGGUCAGAACAAAACCAUGGACCUUCAUAAACCACUUUUCAAAUUGCCAACACUUAAGAGUUUGCUUUAAAGAAAAGGUCCUACUUGAGUAAGAGUUUGGGCAAACGUGGUGGAAAAAAAGGGCUCUAAUAGAUCUAACAAUCUUCAGUAACUAUUACCUCACCUUUGAAAAGCCUGAUGAAUCUCAUAUAAUUGUUUCCGGAUAAAUUAAUAGAAUUUGAUCUCCUCAAACGUCCAUACAUCUCAAUUUUUUUUUUUUUUUACACUUUGCCACAUAAUCCUGGAUUACUGGAGUUCAUCAUAUAUUUUAUUUUCUAAGCUUCUAGGUGUAUUUCAGUCUCUCUACUGGUGCCAGAAGAAAAAGUGCUUUGGCAGUAACAUUCAAUGGAAAAUCCAUCCUCGGAUACACUAGGACGCAGCUGACACGCAGGGCACGUGUGAAUUUUACAGACAGAUUUAGUGGGCUGUUCGGCAGCAGGGAGAUUAAGGAGCUGAACUCAGUAGUUUCAUAGACGCUGACGUUAUUCGACUUCUGGUAAAAAGCAUUGCAUAGGUUGCAGGUCGGCUCCACAUUUAGCCAUGUACAGUAAUUUAAGUAUCUUAAGUGACAGCACUUCUGUAUAAUCAUAAUCUUAUUCUUUGACUACUUGGAAAAAUUUAUCGGAAGAAAAACAUGAUUCAGUAUGUUGAGCUAUUUUCACCUCACAGAACAAUAUUAUAAAUUUAAUAAAUUACAGUCUGAAAGAGAACAGCACAUUUGCUACUUUACUUUUGAAAAUAUUUGCUUUUACUUGAGCUGAUUUUCGAAAAGAAACGUUUUUGGAUGACUCUUAAUGAAAAAGUAUCAAAGACCUGUUUUAUCUUUAAGAAAAAUUACUGGUCCUGCCGAGGGAUACUGACAUCAGUGGCCAUGGGAGUUUUCCAGAACAUACCACCUCUCUUUUGCUUUUUCUUUGUCUUCCUUCCCUCUCUGCUUUCUAGUUAUCCCUUUAUCUUCUUACUCUAUCCUCCUUUUCUUUCUCAUUAAACUCAUUUUUCUCUUCAGUUUAUCCUACUCUCCCCCAAACCAGUGACACUUAAAUGUUACUUAAUAUUAAUGUCAGAAAUACUGAAAUGCAAAGCAGUUGUUUUGACAUUUCAAUCUUUUUCCCCUUUCUCUUUUUCCUGUUUCCUUCUCUUUUUCUAUUCUUCUUUCCUUUCUUCCUUCUUUCUUUAUUUUUAAGGAAAUCUGGAAAUGUUCUUUAUAGCUUUGAUUUCUUUAGGCUUUCAGGUAAUUUACUAUAUUAAAAACAUUUGUUUUAAGACAAAAGAAACUUUUGAUUUAAUCCCAUUAAAAUGGUAUAGAUCACCAUUUUCUUC
rnacentral:lncRNA from 1 species